CAAAAUAGGCAGGAGAGGGCACUAUCGAACCGAUCAUUGUUUUCGAUUCGUAUUGAUAAAUGUUAUUAAUUCAAAUAAAUUUUCCUUUCUUGCACAAACAUCUAACUGUUAUGUACACUUUCUUUAAGAAGUAGCAAUCAAAUCAUCAUGGACAAAAAAUUUGAAUUUGCAAUUGGUGCUAUGUGUACGGAUUCCAUGUUUUGGUCGUCCUCAUUGUCCGCAUCAUGUACUUCAUCCUCAACCUGCUGGUGUCCUUCGUGCAAGUGAUCGGCAGCGUCAUAGUUGUCUAGUUAUCAGUGUCCGUCCAAACCUCCCUCGUGCUGCAGUACAGAGAGAAACAAAAUAGUGAGAGAAAAGAGCAGUAGAGAGAAACAAAUUAGAGGUGAGCUAAAAAACAUUAAAUUAUCCUAAUAAAUUCCUAUUGUCAGUAAUAUCCAUAGUGAAGCUUGGCUCUAUAUAGUACUGAUCAGUACUAGUAUUCUGUAAGUCGUAAUGAUCAAUACUCCUACUUUGUCUUACUAAUGAGCACUCAUACUGAUCUAGCUAACACAACAAAUUUUUCAUCUAGUGGACUUUUAACAUUAUAUUAGAAAACUUGAGCUAUAAAAUCCCACAUUUGUUAUACUUGAAAACUAUACCCAGACUAGGCACCCCCCAAAUCUCACACAACAAAGCAUGUUAUAUAUAUUUUUCACGAAUGAUUGUUCACGUACUGAACUGAGAGCACCUAGUUUGUGUUUCAGGAAUUAAAAUAGAUGUCCUGAGCACCCCGUUUCAGCAAAUGUUUGUGCUAUAAUUCAACAAUAGAGAAUACAGAUAAGCAAACACCUAUUUUUAUGGAGAAUAUACCAUUUUUGACGGCCUUCAUGUGACCAGCGGUGCUGGAGGUGAUCUCGUGUCUCCUGCUGCUGCUGCAGGUCGACGAGGACUUGUACAGCGGUAGAGUUUUUGCAAAGUGAACUGAUACCUUUUCUAGCCUGAGAAAUGCAGAAAAUUAGCAAAAGUGAACCACCAAAUUCUAUAUAGAAGUGCAUAAAUUAAGACAUCAAAAGUUUAAACAAAGUAGGUGGAGUUUUUUUAAUACAUUAGCAUUUGAACUUUUAUUAGUUCUUGUCCUCAAAACAAAGUAGCUUGAUUUUUUAACCACCGCAAAUAAACUCUUAAAUACUUAUGGCAAGUAUAUUUGAACUGAUGUAUCCUUUUUCUAGUUACUGAUUGCCAACCAGCCCAAACAAACUCUGAAGUACUUAUGGCGAGUAUUUUUCAACUGAUGUAUCUUCUUUCUAGUUAAUAAAUUGCUAUACUAGAGUACUACAUCCUUGGAAAUGAAAUACCAACAUCAUUGGUUGUGUAAAAACACUCAAAAGAAUGGCUUGUUGUACUGUAUUUUUAUAGUACAAAUUGUACUAAACUUAACUAAUUUCGCACUGGAAUUUAAAACAUCAUACAUACGCGUUAAGUAAUGCAAACAUAGCAAACUCAAAAUUUCUGUAGUCUAUAAAAUAUAGGAAACCCAAAAUUUCCUAACGAGUGCAUUUGCGUGGAGUUACCUACUGAACUUCUAGGCUGACAUUGGUUCUCCUGUUUUCUUUACACAACCAACUUCGUGUUUUUUAUAAGCGAACUGAAUGGAAAACUUGAUGGUGCACUUCUGUAAUUUGUUCAAGGUGAACUGAUGCACUUGCAAAGUUAACUUAUUAUGUUCCUUUUUCAUACUGAAUUGAUGUCUGUUCACAAAAUGAAAAGGUUAAAGGUGUGAACAUUCAGUACAUUUGUAACUUAGCUAGCGCCGCACUAGAACUGACAUAAUAAGUUAAGUUAUCAAUAGUGAUCCAUCGAUGCAAGCUUAGUUCUUAGGUUACAAAUUUGUAAAUACUAGUACUGCUACCAGCAUUUAUAAAUACUAGCGAACUUGAACUUGUGGUCGAUCGAGAUCGGAACUUAUUGUGUUACAAGCACAAAUACAAAAUCCAAUGAAGGUGAUAUAAGUACAUGUUAGAAAGAUAAUCAAGUUCAGGUAUAUUAAUUGGGAGAAGUUCAAAAAGAAACUUUUAAAACGUUUGUAUUAAAAAUAUGUGUACUACAUAACAUCUGUACUCACUAUGACGAUGUGUUUGUACGGCUCCACUGCCAGUGAAGAAUCUCUUACCGUCAUGCUAUCUAAGUGAAGAUGUGAACCUUCCAAAAUAUUGGAACUGACAUGACAAGUAACAACAGUAGAAAGUGUUGUAAUAAUAUUUUUUUCCUUGUAGCUUUUUUGGAGCAAGAAGUUUGAUCAUGUGGCGAUGAUUUUUCUUUUGCAGACACUAAAUAUUUGAACCUUUUGUGCAAGUAUGUUUGAACUAGGGAGAAGAGAGCAUAACAAGGGAAGUGAAGCAAUGACAUGCGGUACAGAAAUUUUCUUCUCAUAAACAUGCACAUCUUUUUUACUUUUUCGAUAUAGAAAUUCCUGACAAAGGUUCAAUAUGAAAUAAGAGAAUACCAAACAUUUGUUUUGAGGGGAAAAUUAACUACACAAGAAAUUUUCAUUUUUAGUCAGCUUUUUUUUCAUCGAUCAGCUUCUGUGCAACUUGAUUUUGACCUAAGAAACAAAUGAAAAUGAAGUGGAGCAGAGAGAAUUAGGGUCAAUUGAGGUAGUUACUAAGAAGGAGUGUGAACCUUUAUCUACUGAACUUUUCAAAGUUUUAAGCUUGAACUUCUGUUCUUCUUUUAAGUACUGACACUACACAAAGCUUCUUUUAAGUUUUGAGUGUGAACUAUUUGUGUCCUGGCUCAGACAUUUUCCACAAACAAAUGACAUGCAGAAAUUGUAGGUUUUGCUUUUACCUCGACGCUUUUCUGGACUUCCAAAAUAAACUCUGGUACAUGUGCUUGUUAUCAGGCAUAACCACAAGCACUAUAGAAAGAACAUGGGAACACAAAGGAAAUUGGACUUAUGAUCGGGGAAGUUGAUGCACUAAAAAGCAAUCAAAAGAUGAACUGAAAACAAUUGAUGCUCUUCAAAAGCAUUCGGGAGAGAUAACAGCUUCAAGCUGUUUUUUGGGUGCUCUUCUAUUAGCAGACUAGUAACCGACCAUCUACCAUGUGCAUGUAGGGAAUGAGAGUUGUUCCAUAUAUCUAUAUGAACAUACAUAUUGCAUAGGAUUGCAUCUAAUUACUCUCUCCAUCUACUAUAGUAAUACAUCUAUAGAGAAGGAAAGUCGAGUAGUUCUAUGUUAAAUGAUUCCAACCGAAAUUCACAUUUUCUUUUAACAAAACCAAACUUCUUGAAUGAACUUCUUUAGGUUUAUGUGUUUGAACCUACAAUCUUUCCAAACAAGUACUUAGCUCGCUUUUCUUUUUUCCUUCAUGAUGGGAUCAGAAGUGCAAAAGCAGCACAACAUGGAAGCAAUAACACAAGGAUCAAUCGGGGCAAACAACAGAACACAGAACUAAAUAGAUAAAUGUGCUUACAGAAAAUCUGCAUCUUCUCAAUGGGCAUGACGCCGGCAAUACUUCGUGCACCGGAGAACCUGCACUACUGGAUACGUCGAGAGAGGACUGAGGGCAGCACGUCCCCAUGUGUUUAUUUU
rnacentral:lncRNA from 1 species